UACGGAGGAUGCGAGCGUUAUCCGGAUUUAUUGGGUUUAAAGGGUGCGUAGGCGGAUUGUUAAGUCAGCGGUGAAAGUUUUCGGCUCAACCGGAAAAUUGCCGUUGAAACUGGCGAUCUUGAGUGUAAAUGAGGUAGGCGGAAUGCGUGGUGUAGCGGUGAAAUGCUUAGAUAUCACGCAGAACUCCAAUUGCGAAGGCAGCUUACUGGGAUACAACUGACGCUGAGGCACGAAAGCGUGGGGAU
rnacentral:rRNA from 1 species